GCCAGCAGCCAUAUCACCCUGCAACUCACAACUGGCAACUCACAACUGGCAACCCACUGAAGCUAAGCAGGUGUGAGCCUGGUCAGUACCUGGAUGGGAGACCUCCUGGGAAAAACUAAGGUUGCUGCUNNNN
rnacentral:rRNA from 1 species